UACGAAGGGUGCAAGCGUUGUUCGGAUUUAUUGGGCGUAAAGCGCGCGCAGGCGGGUUUGAAAGUCAGAUGUGAAAUCUCGGGGCUCAACUCCGAAACUGCGUCUGAAACUUCUUAUCUAGAAUCCUGGAGGGGGGAGGGGAAUUUCGCAUGUAGGGGUAAAAUCCGUAGAUAUGCGAAGGAACACCAGAGGCGAAGGCGCCUCCCUGGACAGGUAUUGACGCUGAGGUGCGAAAGCGUGGGGAUCAAACAGG
rnacentral:rRNA from 1 species